AAGGUUUUCAAGCAGAUUUGGUACUAAAGGCCCAUAACUGUGGAAUAAACAAGAUGCUCAGGGCCCGCUGCCUACGCCCACCCCCAUGAGAAAGCCAGGUCUCCGCUGUCUGCCUGAGCCCUGCAGGGGGGAGGAGGGGGGAAAUUACCUCCCGCCCACGGAGCAGCCCCGCCUGGGGCUGGUGGAGACUCCUGUCCGCACAUGCAAUUAUGUUCUGUUCGCACUGGAUAUACGCUUGACUACAUACAUAUACUUCUAAAAAGACUUUUCUCCGCUGCCUUUCCUUUCUCAAGCCGUCUGGGCCAGCCUGCCAAACUGGGGAGGCAGGCCAAGAUCCUGAGCCAGCAAGCUCACUCUCCUUAAAGGGCCAUACCACCAGCCAGCAAGGCAGAGUACGUGAAAAGCGGGGAAACCACCAUGCCCACACCUCCCAAGACAAAGCUGGUCUCGCCGUGGGCAGGGCAGCUCUGGGAGUGGGUGACUAAUAGCAGCAAGGAGAAUGUUACAACCAGGGCAUCAACACACCUGAUGAACUGCCACGGGUUUAACGCGGUCAUUGCAUUCCCGUUCUGGAGAAGAGAGACAGAGCCUCGGUGGCCAGGCAUGCACACCCUAUAGCAAAAAUCUCUUAAAAAAAAGAAAGAAAGAAAGAAAGAAAAUAAGUGGCAAGGCUGUACAUGGAGUGGGCCAGCGUCCAACGCCUACUUUUUCAAGCCCUUAUAACCAGCAAUGCUGCUGCCUUGGCCCAGGACUGAAGUUAUCGAGUUGACCUGGGACUGAAGUUAUCAAGCCUCCUGCAAGUCCCCUCUUCAAAAGACCCUUCCUGGUAAUCAAGAUCUAAGAAGAAAAUGCACCAUACAAAAUGGACUCCUUCGUUCUAAGGAAUGUGUUUGGCUUCACCUGAUCAAACAGAACAGUGCAUCAUGUUUUAUGAUUAUUGUUUCCAUACUUUG